rnacentral:precursor_RNA from 9 species
UCAUAGACAAAUUGACUUAUUAGCCUUUUCGUGUUCACUGUGGAAGCCUUGGUCAUUAAAAAGUAUUAAGGCACGCGGUGAAUGCCAAGGGGAAGUCACAAUCUGCAGACGUUCAUG